AUAUUGAACCGUCGGCCUCCUUUUUGAAAAGUCAGACAAAUGGCCCUUCGGAUCUAUGGGUUCCGUUUUCGUAACAUUGAACCAUCGGCAUAGUGGUAUGUCGAUCUAAUGGGAAAUAUUUCGGACCAUUGAGACGUCGGAACAAUGAGGUGUCGGAAUUACGGACAGGCCCCGAAACCACGUUGUCAAGCUAACUUGCUAACAUUUUGGUACGUUAACCCAACGUCACCCACCCGGCCGAACAACUUCAAUUAUCUCUAACCCAUACAUUGCACGGUGUUAACAAGUAAAUCAAGUCUGAAAUGUGUCAUUUAAAUUAAUUUCGUUAUCAACUGUAUUACUUCUAAGUUAUUGACGUGGUAUUGCAGUCGAAUGCAUCUGAACUUGAAGUCAGUGAGGCAUAUUGAUUAGCUAACUACAUCUAUGCAUGCCUAACUUAACUUAAUACGCCUACCAUCGUCUAUCAUCGUCAAUGUAUUGCAAAAAGUUGGUCGUAAGUGGAAAAAUAUCUAGCUAGAUGGUGAAAACCUACAAAUAUUCAUACAAACUUACCACGAUAGGUCUGCUAGUGGGGACUGGGGAGAGAGACGAUUUCCAACGUGCCACUGCCAGCUCGAGCUCCAGUUCAGUUCUAGUACUACUUUCGCGGGGAAUCAUCACCAUGUAGAGUAGAUUUGGUCAUUGUGUGCAUGUUGGACUUAACUCUCACUUUUGACACUACUAUUUAGACGAUUUUACUACUCUGUACAUUGUUAUAACUACUCUAUCCAGAGGAAAAUAGGUUUACUCUGCAAUAAUGGCACUCCAUUUUCUACUGUGUUGCAAUUUGCAAAAACCUAUUUAUCUAUCAUUUAUAUGUGGUUAUUUGAUGCAGAUAUGAAGCUCUGGAUGUGUUUUCUAUUGUAUGUGUUAUGAUUUUACGGGUUUACACGGGUGUCAACUUCGUGGUUUGGGCUGGUUUUUAUUGGAGUGGGCGGGUUCUAAGAUGUGAUUGGGCUGGAAACUGUCAAUCUGAUCUGGCAACACUGACGCCUCGUGCUCUGACUGCACCGUCAGUCAACGGACGUCGGAAAAGGCGUGGCUGACUGAUGUUCGAAUAUAUUCGAAUAUUCAUUGACACCUGCAAACCUCUUCAGAAGAAGGUCGAAAGAUGCCGAAGAAUGAGCGAGGAGUCUACUUUUUCAAGUUAUUCGGGAACAAAAAAAAAGAAAUCUUGUACACACAGAUUUCUAAAAAAUGUGAGGACCUGAUGAAGACUGGCAUUGAAAAAAAUACAAAUACCUUGGCUAGAGAUGGACUUUGGGGUCAAGUUUGUACCGGACUUGGCAUUCCAAACACAAAAAUCCAUCGAAUAAGACUUAAAGUAGCACAUCAAUCAUUUAAAAAGCACACAUCUCCAUCAUCUCCAUCGCCACAGGCUAGUGGAAUAGAUGAGCCUGGAGAACAGUAUUCUGAGCACACAUCACCAGGGUCCCUAUCGCCACAGGCUAGUGGAGCAGAUGAGCCUGGACAAGAGUAUUCUGAGAGUUUGUUUGGUGAUUCGCUGAUGUUGCAGAUGUCUGAUGUCUACUAGCAAGCUGAGCAAUUCUUGAACUUGUUCUUUGAACUUGUACUUUGAAAUUGCACUUUAAAAUAAACAUUUACGUUUUUAUAGCCCAUGCUUUAUGAUGACUA